rnacentral:lncRNA from 1 species
GUGAGUGUGUCUGGGGGAUCGAUCGAACAAGGCAGGAGGAGGGGGAAACCCUAAACUCAAGAAAUCAAGCAAUUGAAGCCUAAAAUCAUAAGAAAAUCCAGUGCAUGAGCCCUCUUAUCGAUCAUCUAAGCAUACCUAGUGAAGUGGUAAAACCAUGUCAAGAUGGACCAACUCAUGGGAAGCAAAUGGGUCAAAGAGGAGGCAAAGAAACUAGCAUAAACAUGGCGAGCACAAGGUAAAUCCUCAAAUUAGGCGACUUGGAGAAUCAGAGCGAGCGCGUGUUCAUGUUAUGUCAUACCAAACGCUUCCGCUAGCUUGUUCAAAUGUUUUUGGUCCAAAAUUUGUUGUAUUGGUUUUUAGUAGUAUCUUGUUGUACGAAUUGUAGAAUUGUAUCUAGUUUGAUUAUGAUUAAAACAGGGGUAUGCUCGUCUUAUGGACGGGUCAUGCC